AUGAAGCCGAUUUGUAGGCUGUCCGAGGAACCGGUGCAGCUUGUUGUAGAUCUACUGCAUGAGGGUACUGGGGAAUGGAAUACAGAGCUACUUCACAAACUGUUCAUUCGGUCAGAUGUCGACAAGAUUCAGAACAUACCAAGACCAAGAACGGAGGAGGCAGAGUACUGGGCAUGGGCGUGGGAGCGAUCGGGCUCUUUCUCUGUCAGAUCGGCCUACAGGGAGAUCAAACAGAUGCAGUUUAAUGGUCAGAGUGGGCCAAGCAGCUCUUUAGGCGAUGAGGAUACAUGGAAGAGAUUAUGGAAAUUGAAUGUUCAGCCAAAAAUCCGUGUCUUUUGGUGGAGGGUGAUAAAAGGGUUCCUGCCGGCAAAGGCGGAGCUCAUGCGGAGACACAUUGGUGAUGACGCAAUCUGUGAUAUGUGUGCAACAAUGAUGAAAGAACAUAUAAGAUCUCUUGACAUCCCGUCCACGCAGCAACCUGUACAACGUCAGAUAGCUAAAUGGACAUCCCCAUUAGAGGGGGUGGUGCAACUUCAUUCAGAUGUAGCGAUCGAUGUGGUACAGGGAAGGGCGGGCACGACUGUUAUUGCAAGAGAUCAUGAAGGACACUUCCUCGGGGGAAGAUAUACCCCAUAUAAUGGGAGCACAGACCUGUAUGUGUGCGAAGCAUUGGGGUGCAGAGGCGCUAUGGUAUUAGCAAAGGAGAAACGCUGCACUAGGGUUGAGGUCAUCUCGGAUUGCAAGACAGUGGUGGAAGACUGGAAUGCAAGAAGUGACCGAUCGGUUUGUGUCCCUAUAUCCAGAGAGAUGGCUUCAUAUCUCUCGCUUUUUCAGGGUUGUGAGAUGAAGUUCAGAGGAAGAGAAGCAAAUUCAGCUGCACAUGUAUUGGCUAGGCAUGGACGGUCCACUAGCUCCAAUUAUGUAACCUUUGAUGCUAUCCCUGAAUUCUUAUGUGCGACCUUGCACUUAGUUAUGUACGAUCGAUAA
rnacentral:rRNA from 1 species